rnacentral:rRNA from 1 species
AUUGAACGCUGGCGGCAGGCCUAACACAUGCAAGUCGAGCGGAUGACGGGAGCUUGCUCCUUGAUUCAGCGGCGGACGGGUGAGUGAUGCCUAGGAAUCUGCCUGGUAGUGGGGGACAACGUUUCGAAAGGAACGCUAAUACCGCAUACGUCCUACGGGAGAAAGCAGGGGACCUUCGGGCCUUGCGCUAUCAGAUGAGCCUAGGUCGGAUUAGCUAGUUGUUGGGGUAAUGGCUCACCAAGGCGACGAUCCGUAACUGGUCUGAGAGGAUGAUCAGUCACACUGGAACUGAGACACGGUCCAGACUCCUACGGGAGGCAGCAGUGGGGAAUAUUGGACAAUGGGCGAAAGCCUGAUCCAGCCAUGCCGCGUGUGUGAAGAAGGUCUUCGGAUUGUAAAGCACUUUAAGUUGGGAGGAAGGGCAGUAAGCUAAUACCUUGCUGUUUUGACGUUACCGACAGAAUAAGCACCGGCUAACUCUGUGCCAGCCGCCGCCGUAA